rnacentral:snRNA from 1 species
GUGCUCGCUUUGGCAGCACAUAUACUAAAAUUGGAAC